GGCUUUUAAGCUCGAGUUGCGGU
rnacentral:siRNA from 1 species